AAACCAUCAUAUGGGUUCUGUUGAAACUAAAGCUGAGAAACAGAUAUUACAUUUUACUUUAUAAGAUGUUGAAUCCACUGAAACGAGAAAGAGAAGACAUGAAAAAUCAAAAAAAUCAUUUGGUAGCUAUGUUAAAAAUGUACAGAGCUUCAAAAAAGACUUUCUGCUGAGCAAACAAUAGAUAAUAUUCAACAGAAGUUGUUGAACCAAGAAAAAAUUUGUUUGUACAAGAUAUUUGAAAGCAUAAACCAUCUCUUAUAAGGUUCAUGAUUUGAAAGGGGCCCCGCAAAGAGAAGAGAAGGCCCCCCUUCCCCCCAAAAAGUCACCUAUUCGAUCCGGGCUUGCCUGCGAAGCGCUAUGUUUCCGGUUGGAUAAGAAUAUGCCUCGUCACGGCAUGACGUUGAAUAAUGUGGACUAUUUCAAAAGGACGUCAAAGGUGGGCACAAAAUAAGAUCUGUUACAUUAUUAAAAUAAUUAAUAGAAAAUAUUAAUUGUUCUUUUGUACAACUGUGUUUAAAACAAAAAAAAAAAAAAAAAUUGAAGAAAAUAGCAAAUUCUGUAGCUAUAUACUAACUUCUUACAAUACAAAUAAUUUCUUGAAAAAUUUCGAUGUACGAUUUUAGUUAAAUAAAUAUCUCCGAUAAGUAUACUUGAAAA